AAUCCAUGCAUCAAACAUUUCUGAAGUAAUUCUUUAAAUCGUUCCCAGGUUUCAUAUAGCGUUUCAUCCUCCGAUUGUCGAAAAGAUGUAAUGUCAUUUCUAAGCUU
rfam:Gossypium raimondii Chr09_contig_1537, whole genome shotgun sequence.